CACGCGACCCGCCACCGGCAGCAACGAGCCACCACCAACAGCGGCGCGGCAGCAGCUGCAAGCACGGGCGCGCGGCCGAGAAAAGCGCAGCCCUGCCACGACGAUUCGGCCACCUCCCUCCCUCGUGGUCUUGCUCCUGCUUCUCCACCCCUCCAAAAAGUCCAGUAAAAUAGAAGGGAGGCGACCCCAAUCCCUCCCCCCAGACGCACGGCGCACGGAGGCGUUGGAUCGGAUCGGCGCCGGCGGGGGCGAGAUGUGGGAGUCGGUGGCGCUGACGCUGGCGGGCACCGCCGGCAACAACAUCGGCAAGGUCCUCCAGAAGAAGGGCACCCACAUCCUCCCUCCCCUCUCCCUCAAGCUCAAGGUGGUCAAGGCGUACGCGUUCAACCAGCUCUGGAUCAGCGGGUUCCUCAUGGACAUGUGCGGCGCCGCGCUCAUGCUCACCGCGCUGUCCCAGGCCCCGGUCUCCGUCGUGCAGCCCAUUGCCGGCUGCGGGCUCGCGAUACUCUGCGUCUUCUCCCACUUUUACCUCAAGGAGGUCAUGAAUGGCCUCGAUUGGGUUGCCAUCACGCUAGCUGGUCUCGGCACCAUAGGAGUUGGUGUUGGAGGCGAGGAACAGAAAGUUGAUCAGAUACCUCUUUUCAAUAUACCGUGGCUACUGCUCUCCGUUGUCAUCUUGUUUGUACUGCUCAACACUUGGCUUCAUAUGUAUAAAAAGCAAAGGCGUGAGCAAGAGUUGACUGGACCUGAAGUGAUUGAGGAGAUCAUAUAUGGCUUAGAAUCAGGCAUCUUGUUUGGGAUUUCUUCAGUGAUCUCUAAGAUGGGAUUUGUGAUGUCCGAGAUGGGUUUUCCAAAGCUUGUUGUGCCUGCUGCCAUUUCUUGUAGUGUUUGCUGUAGUGCCAUCGGAUUUGUGUAUCAGACUCGAGGGCUCAAGCAUGGGAGGGCAAUUGUUGUAUCUACAUGUACAUCAGUGGCAUCUAUAGUGUCUGGUGUGGUAGCUGGCAUGAUUGCACUUGACGAACAUCUACCUAAAGCUCCCAUGGCUCGGUUUUUUCUUUUACUUGGAUGGUUCUUCAUUAUCACAGGAGUGAUACUACUUGUUAGUUCAACCAGAUUGAUUGCACGUCUACCUAGGCCUGUGCAGAAGUUUUUGAAGAGCAACAUGGAGCGCACCCACAGUAUUAGGAGGCCCAGUUCAGCACGAGGGAAGGACCCCAUCCCAACCACAACGAUCCAUACAUCGUCACUACAUCUACUUACUUCUCCAACAAAGGAGAAGGCCUAGCAAAAUAUUGCUGCUGUGGAAAAUCUGUUUCAGCACCUCACUUGCGUCAUGUCAUUGUUUGAUUGAGUGUUUACGUGAAUUUAUGAGUCUAGAGUAGCGUUUAAAGUUUGGGUCGGUUACUCAUGAUACUGCCCUUUAUAGAUCUAACAGAAGUUUGGGAAAAAAAAUACUGCAGAUUUUUAUCACGUCUCA